UAGGCUGCAACUCGCCUACACGAAGCUGGAAUCGCUAGUAAUCGCGGAUCAGCACGCCGCGGUGAAUACGUUCCCGGGCCUUGUACACACCGCCCGUCACACCAUGAGAGUCUGUAACACCCAAAGCCGGUGGGAUAACCUUUAUUAGGAGUCAGCCGUCUAAGGUAGGACAGAUGAUUAGGGUGAAGUCGUAACAAGGUAGC
rnacentral:rRNA from 1 species